GCGUCGAGCGGCGGACGGGUGAGUAAUGCCUAGGAAAUUGCCCUGAUGUGGGGGAUAACCAUUGGAAACGAUGGCUAAUACCGCAURAUGCCUACGGGCCAAAGAGGGGGACCUUCGGGCCUCUCGCGUCAGGAUAUGCCUAGGUGGGAUUAGCUAGUUGGUGAGGUAAUGGCUCACCAAGGCGACGAUCCCUAGCUGGUCUGAGAGGAUGAUCAGCCACACUGGAACUGAGACACGGUCCAGACUCCUACGGGAGGCAGCAGUGGGGAAUAUUGCACAAUGGGCGCAAGCCUGAUGCAGCCAUGCCGCGUGUGUGAAGAAGGCCUUCGGGUUGUAAAGCACUUUCAGUCGUGAGGAAGGUGGUAGUGUUAAUAGCACUAUCAUUUGACGUUAGCGACAGAAGAAGCACCGGCUAACUCCGUGCCAGCAGCCGCGGUAAUACGGAGGGUGCGAGCGUUAAUCGGAAUUACUGGGCGUAAAGCGCAUGCAGGUGGUUUGUUAAGUCAGAUGUGAAAGCCCGGGGCUCAACCUCGGAAUAGCAUUUGAAACUGGCAGACUAGAGUACUGUAGAGGGGGGUAGAAUUUCAGGUGUAGCGGUGAAAUGCGUAGAGAUCUGAAGGAAUACCGGUGGCGAAGGCGGCCCCCUGGACAGAUACUGACACUCAGAUGCGAAAGCGUGGGGAGCAAACAGGAUUAGAUACCCUGGUAGUCCACGCCGUAAACGAUGUCUACUUGGAGGUUGUGGCCUUGAGCCGUGGCUUUCGGAGCUAACGCGUUAAGUAGACCGCCUGGGGAGUACGGUCGCAAGAUUAAAACUCAAAUGAAUUGACGGGGGCCCGCACAAGCGGUGGAGCAUGUGGUUUAAUUCGAUGCAACGCGAAGAACCUUACCUACUCUUGACAUCCAGAGAACUUUCCAGAGAUGGAUUGGUGCCUUCGGGAACUCUGAGACAGGUGCUGCAUGGCUGUCGUCAGCUCGUGUUGUGAAAUGUUGGGUUAAGUCCCGCAACGAGCGCAACCCUUA
rnacentral:rRNA from 1 species